GAUGAACGCUGGCGGCGUGCCUAAUACAUGCAAGUCGAGCGAAGCGGGGACGGGUGAGUAACACGUGGAUAACCUCCUAUAAGACUGGGAUAACUUCGGGAAACCCUAGCUAAACCGGCUACUUAUAGAUGGAUCCGCGCUGCAUUAGCUCGUUGGGAAGGUAACGGCUUACAAAGGCAACGACGCCUAGCCGACCUGAAAGGGUGAUCGGCCACACGGUAACUGAGACACGGCCCAGACUCAUACGGGAGGCAGCAGUAGGGAAUCUUCCGCAUGGGGCGAAUGCCUGACGGAGCAACGCCGCGUGAGUGAGAAAGGGCUUCGGAGCGGAAAACUCUGUUAUUAGGGAAGCGGUACCGAACCAGAAAGCCACGGCUAACUACGUGCCAGCAGCCGCGGUAAUAC
rnacentral:rRNA from 1 species